rnacentral:rRNA from 1 species
UACGUAGGCAGCGAGCGUUGUUCGGAGUUACUGGGCGUAAAGAGUGCGUAGGCGGUUUUCUAAGUUUGGUGUGAAAUCUCCCGGCUUAACUGGGAGGGUGCGCCGAAGACUGGAAGGCUUGAGUAUGGGAGAGGUAAGCGGAAUUCCAGGUGUAGCGGUGAAAUGCGUAGAUAUCUGGAGGAAUACCGGUGGCGAAGGCGGCAUCCUGGACCGACAUUGACGCUGAGGAGCGAAAGCUAGGGGAGCAAACGGGG